rnacentral:rRNA from 1 species
CUUUGUAGUAAUACAAGGCAUACGGCUCAGUAACGCGUAGUCAACCUACCCUAUGGACGGGGAUAAUCUCGGGAAACUGAGCAUAAUACCCGGCAGACCACUUAUCCUGGAAUGGUUAGUGGUUAAAAUGAUUCGUCGCCAUAGGAUGGGACUGCGGCCUAUCAGCUUGUUGGUGAGGUAAUGGCCCACCAAGGCGAUUACAGGUACGGGCUCUGAGAGGAGAGGCCCGGAGAUGGGUACUGAGACAAGGACCCACGCCCUAUGGGGCGCA